rnacentral:misc_RNA from 1 species
UUUCCGUAGGUGAACCUGCGGAAGGAUCAUUACUGAAUUACCGAGCUGCGAGGUCUUGCGCUCACCCGUCAGGUCGUGCACGCCCGAUUGCCCUCGCGCACAUCCAUCUCACCCCUACGGCCCCCACCGCGCGGGUCCCCCCCUGUCUAGUUCGGAGGCGGGCUGUCGUUUUCGCACAAACUUUGUAAGCUAUGUAGAAUGUAAUUUUUUUUUUUGCGAUCACGCUAUCAAUACAACUUUCAAAAACGGAUCGCUUGGCGCUCGCAUCGAUGAAGAACA